rnacentral:rRNA from 1 species
GAUGAACGCUGGCGGCGUGCCUAAUACAUGCAAGUCGAGCGAACAGACGAGGAGCUUGCUCCUCUGACGUUAGCGGCGGACGGGUGAGUAACACGUGGAUAACCUACCUAUAAGACUGGGAUAACUUCGGGAAACCGGAGCUAAUACCGGAUAAUAUAUUGAACCGCAUGGUUCAAUAGUUAAAGACGGUUUUGCUGUCACUAAGAGAUGGAUCCGCGCCGCAUUAGCUAGUUGGUAAGGUAACGGCUUACCAAGGCGACGAUGCGUAGCCGACCUGAGAGGGUGAUCGGCCACACUGGAACUGAGACACGGUCCAGACUCCUACGGGAGGCAGCAGUAGGGAAUCUUCCGCAAUGGGCGAAAGCCUGACGGAGCAACGCCGCGUGAGUGAUGAAGGUCUUCGGAUCGUAAAACUCUGUUAUUAGGGAAGAACAAAUGUGUAAGUAACUAUGCACGUCUUGACGGUACCUAAUCAGAAAGCCACGGCUAACUACGUG